CCCACCUGGGCUUCGUGAACAGUGGGAGGGAGAGUCUGGGGCCAGGAGAGGGACGGUGCAGGAUCAGGGAAAGAAAGAUCUGCUGAGCAUGCCUGAGCUGAGAAAUGAGGGAAGGCAGACAUAUGUAUGAGCACCUAUGCAGAGAGAUACAGGGUCUCACUCUGUUGCCCAGGCUGGAGAACAGUGGCACGAUCAUGCGUUAUUCACUGCAGACUUGAACUCCUGGCC